ensembl:lncRNA
GUAAGUGGAAUUAUCUUCAUAAAAAGUUUUUGUGUAUCUUUUUUGUUUCAACCACAGGGUGAGAUUCCUGCCUGCUGUGGUAAACAGGCUAGAGUUGGGUGAAGCAGUUUUUAGGGCUCCUUUUCUAGUCUUUUCAUUUUAUCAGGAAGUGAGUUGUAUGGAUCCCUUAAAAGAGUUACUCAGAGACUGAGGAGGCUGUCAAAUCCCACUGCUGUUUCAUUCCAGUGAGAUGUCCCUAUGGCCUGGGCCACUUGUGUCAAGGGUUCUCCAGCUCUCAAUGCAUCAGCACCUGCUGCUUCAUCACUUGUCUAUUGCUACAAGACUUUGAGGAUGAGCUGACAUGUCUAGAGAGAGUAAACGGGAUGGUGAGGGACCUCAAGAUUCUGCCCCAGGAGUGGAUGCCUCAUCAGUUGGAGAAUGGCUGAAUAAGUUAUGGCAUAUGGAUAUUAUGGAAUAUUAUUGUUCUGUAAGAAAUGAUCAGGAGGAUGAUUUUAGAAACACCUGGGGAGACUUAUCUGAAGAUGCUGAGUGAAAUGAGUAGAACCAGGAGAUCACUGUACAUGGCAACAAGAAGAUUAUAUGAUAAUUAAUUCUGAUGAAUGUGACUCCUAACAGUGAGAUGAUUGAUAGUCUUGUGAUGAUGAGAGCCAUAUACCCAGAGAGAGGACUGUGGGGACUGAAUGUGGAUCACAACAUAAUAUUUUCAUUCUUUUUAAUGUUGUUCACUUGCAUUUUGUUUUCUUACUCAUCUUUCCUUUUUGAUCUGAUUUUUCUUGUGCAGCAAGAGAAUUGGUUUUUUUUUUUUUUAAUUUAAUAGCCUUUUAUUUACAGGAUAUAUACAUGGGUAACUUUACAGCAUUAACAAUUGCCAAACCUCUUGUUCCAAUUUUUCACCUCUUACCCCCCCACCCCCUCCCCUAGAUGGCAGGAUGACCAGUAGAUGUUAAAUAUAUUAAAAUAUAAAUUAGAUACACAAUAAGUAUACCUGACCAAAACGUUAUUUUGCUGUACAAAAAGAAUCAGACUCUAAAAUAUUGUACAAUUAGCUUGUGAAGGAAAUCAAAAAUGCAGGUGUGCAUAAAUAUAGGGAUUGGGAAUUCAAUGUAAUGGUUUUUAGUCAUCUUCCAGAGUUCUUUUUCUGGGCAUAGCUAGUUCAGUUCAUUACUGCUCCAUUAGAAAUGAUUUGGUUGAUCUCGUUGCUGAGGAUGGCAGCAAGAGAAUUGUACAAAUAUGUUUACACAUAUUAGAUUUAACAUAUAUUUUAACAUGUAUAACAUAUAUUGGAUUGCUUGCCAUCUAGGGGAGGGGAUGGAGGGAAGAAGGGGAAAAUCUGAAAUACAAGGCUAUGCAAGGGUCAGUGUUGAAAAUUAUCUGUGCAUGUGUUUUGAAAAUAAAAAGCUAUAAGGGAUAAGGGAAAGGAGCAGGAGUUAGUUAGCCUGAAAAGACUAAGGUUAGGUGUCUUCCGCAUCUCAAAGGCUGCCUAAGGACACAGAACAAAAAGAAAACUGGGUCUUGAGUAAGAAGACCCUAGUUUGAAUCCUGACUUUACCUCUUAUUACUUCUGAGCAAGCCACUUAACUCUAGACUGAAAUUUUCUCUUUUAUAAAAUGAAGAAUUGAUCCUAAGGAUGGACAACAGGGGCUGGGGAUUCCCUACCCAGAGGACAAAAUUGGGAACAAUAAAUAGAAGUUGCAAAAAGAUACAAAGAUGUUUGAUGUUUAUGAAAAUCUUCCCAAUAAUUAGAAUCUGUCCUUACUUUCCAGCAAGGAAAAUAUAGGUGGGCAAGGAAAGUGAUCCAAAGAAAAUACUCCUGCUUUGGUACUGGCAUAUUGCAGGAAGUGGGUGUCUACUGUAUGCCAGAUAUUAUCUCAUUUGAUUUGAACAACAAUCCUCUUAUCCCCACUUUAAAGUUGAGAAAAACAGAUUAAAUGGCUGCCCAAGAUGUCUGAGAUUAUAUCAGAACUCAGAUUUUCCUGUCUCUGGACCCAGUGCCAUCUAGAUGACUCAAGAGGCAUCUGUAUAGAUCAGAGAUUGUCUGAUAUAUCAUUAUCCAGAUACUGAUAUCUAUCCACUAGCCAGAUAGAUCACUAAGGCCCAGAAGGCUAGAGCUUUGGUUUUUUCCUAGGCUAUCACAGCAUUUAAACUUCUUUUGUUAGGUUAAUCCCAAGGGCUAACCCAUGUAUGUAAUUAGCAGUAAAUUUGAAUCACCCAGCACAAAGUUAUGAGGCAAAUCAAUGAGGCAAUGUCAGGGGACAAGGAGAAUUCAUACCUGUCAAAGGGACAUACCUGGUCUUCCUUGUUGCACAGUUCUAGGAUCAUAGAAUCAUAGAGCUGAAAGAUAUAUCUAAAAAUUAUGCAGACUGAUUUUUCUUGUACAACAUGACAAAUAUGGAUUUAGAAGAAUUGUACAUUUAUAAACUGUAUCAAUUGCUUGCCUUCUUUGGAGGGAGGGAAGAAAAAGAUUUGCAACACAAAAUCUUACAGAAAUGAAUGUUGAAAACAUUUGAAAAAAUAAAAUACUAUUGAGGAAAAAAAUAUAUCUAGCCCUUGCCUUCAGACUUCAUUUGAAUCAGGAUGUAACCUGUUUCUUUUCCUAAAGAUCCCAACAAAUGGCAGCAGGGAGAUCAGUGCAAAGGAUAGUGCAAUGACUCUGAAAUAGAAUCAUGCUUUGGCCAAUUACGCAUGUGUUAACCUGGACAAGUCCCUUCCUUGCUCCUUCUGCUGGUAAAAUGAGAGAGUUGGAUCCAGUGACCUGUUUGUCUCUCCCAGUUCUAAUCCCUGUUAUAUAUCUCUGAUGGUGAUCAGUGCUCCCAAAUCUCCACCAUGAAAACACCCCAGUUAUACUCCAUGUUAAACCAGUAGAUGGAUAAUAUGUUGGAAAUGUUUGAGAUCAUUUCUGCUUCUUGAGAUUUUAUGAUUCUAUGUGAUUUCACCUUUGCCAUUUGUGAUACCUCAGAAGCUCAAUUCAUAUUAAUUAUUGGAGGAUAGAAUUCAGUUCAUUAGCUAAAUGAUUAUCAAGUUAGCCAACAUACAAUGAAAUGUUCUAGCUUCACAGAGAUCCAAAAUUAAAUUAGGAAUUAUUUUUCUCUCUUGGAGUUUACAUGAUCACUUUGUUCAAUUAAAGUAUUGAUAAGAAGCCAUAGACUAUAUAUUUUCUGAGACUUUUUCCAGAAGCAUUAGAAAAUCUAAAGGAUACAAAUCAAGUUAAUUUUCACAAUUAAAAAGGGCAGAAUUUAUUCUGAAAUUAUGGAUGUUCUGUUAAAAUUAAAAUCAAAUUCAUUUAAUGCCUCCCAGGCACAUUAAGAAAAUAAAUGACUUUUAGGGAAACUUUAAUAUCUUUGAGGCUUAGGCUUGUCAAUAAGUCUAAUGGUAACUUAAAAAGCCUGAUGAUCAGUAUCUAACAUACUUAGAUCUUCAUCUUCUAUCUCAUUACAAAAAAAGAACAGGUUUGUCUUUUUGUUCUUUUUUUAAAGAAUUCAGUGUUGUUCAGGGGCACUUACAAGAAACUUCAAGGAUUUCAUUCAUCCCAAAUUGAUGUGUCAGCUUGAUUUACCUCCAAAAAUAGAGAAAUUCUUGCAUUCUUUUUGCUAGAGUGAUCUCUUUGGCUAAACUUGUCAUUAGUCAAAGGAAGAAUGGGCUCCCUGUGGCUAGUUGCCUACACAACCCUUUGCAAAGAGGGGACCUUUCUUCUGUCGCCUCUCUCCUUCAUCCACCAUGCCCCCAAGCAAGGCAAGGACAAUUCUGCCAGGCACUCAUCAGCAAAGCAGCAUUUAAAAGCAGAACAACUAUAAGCCCUCAUCACAGUGGGCCAGCUUCCAAAUAGGAUCAGAGCUGCAGUGCUGAAAGCACAUACAUAAGAUCACAGAGGCAUCUUCAUUCAGCUCAAAUAUUCCUCAAUGAAUUUGGGAGAUGAUUCCAUCUCAUGUAAAGGGACAAUCAUGUUCACGUUUCCAGAAUCCCAUCAGGACAACAAUUUGAAGAACCCAGAUCCUUGUUUUUCUAUAUUACUAAGUCAUGCUAUCUUUAUAAUGCUAAAUAAGAUGCCAUUCCAAAUUCCUCAUCUAAGGAAAGUCAAGACCUCUGGGAUCAUAUGUUUUUCUCUUUCCUGUAUUUGAGAAUUCUCUUACUCUUCUAGGUCUGCUUCCCCUUAUAGCCUCCCCCAUCUAAAAAUAACAGAAGAUAAAUGGGUGUAAGAUUUAGCUAUAAAAGUCCAUACCUUCCACCCUUUGAUGCAGCUAAGGCAACCUAAUGAUAACUUAGAGCCUCAGUGAGCUAAGUCACUGAAUGGUAGGACAUUCCCAAGGUCAUACAGUCUCUGUAUCAGACAUAGGAUUUGAACCCUGGUCUUCCUGAAUCAAAGGUUAGCCAUCUCCAUUAUGCCAUAUUCCAGUUCAAACAUAUUUCUAUUAGUUGUUUUUGGUUAUGUCCAAAUCUCCAUGACGCCCAUUUGGGUUUUCCUAGCAAAGAUGCCAGAGUGGUUUGCCAUUUCCUUCUGCAGUUCAUCUUACAGAUGAAGAAACUGAGAAAAAACGAGGGUAAAUAACUUGCCCAGGGUCAUAUAGCUAGUGAGUGACUGAGGCCAAAUUUGAACUCGGAAAGAUGACUCAUACUUAUAUUACAAAGUGCUUUAAUGAGAAAUAUUACUCUAUUUGAUCUUACAAUAAUUCAGACUCUGGGAUUUCAGAGGAUCUAUGAACUUCAAUGGGAAAUAAAUUACAUCUUUAUUUUAACCAGGCUCUAACUGAAAUUAUACAAAAUCAUUUCCCACACUAAGCUAGAAAAAUAUCAGUAACAACUCAAUGAAAAAUGAGCUAAUCAAUCACUGCAAUAACCAUUACCUCCAACUUGAUUUCCAAUAAAUGAAGUUACAAAACUUUUGGUGCACCUGAAGAGAAACAUAUUUCAAUCUUGAAGCAUACUUUCAUGGCUUUAAUUCCCUUUACAAUAACUUAUCUCUAUAAAUGAAGAUUCUCAAUCACAAUCUUAAUAAAAUCCAAAGGAAGUACCAAAAUGAAGGCUGAAUGUGAUAUGCGGGUAUCUCUUUCAAAAACCACACCAUGAAUAAAAACUGUUGGUUGACAAGAAAUAGAAUUAAGGUUAUUGCUAAUUUAUUUGAUGAUGUUCUGGCAAAUAUUUACCAAAUUUAUUUUUUUUAAGUUAUAUACCAAAUAAAAUUUUCUUUGUGAAAAAUUAAUGUUUAUGUUAUUUCUUAUUGCAAAUAUGUAAGAUACACCCCAGAAUUUCUUUCCUUUUAUACUAAAUAGAGGAUCUGGGAAGGUUUAUUGAAAGCCAUGGGAUUGAAAAAGAUUGGGACUUCCUUACUUUAAGUCUAGUAUUUUUUUCUUUUAUUUAACUGUAAGUUCUGC